GAUGAACGCUGGCGGCGUGCCUAAUACAUGCAAGUCGAGCGAACGGACGAGAAGCUUGCUUCUCUGAUGUUAGCGGCGGACGGGUGAGUAACACGUGGAUAACCUACCUAUAAGACUGGGAUAACUUCGGGAAACCGUAUCUAAUACCGGAUAAUAUUUUGAACCGCAUGGUUCAAAAGUGAAAGACGUUCUUGCUGUCACUUAUAGAUGGAUCCGCGCUGCAUUAGCUAGUUGGUAAGGUAACGGCUUACCAAGGCAACGAUGCAUAGCCGACCUGAGAGGGUGAUCGGCCACACUGGAACUGAGACACGGUCCAGACUCCUACGGGAGGCAGCAGUAGGGAAUCUUCCGCAAUGGGCGAGAGCCUGACGGAGCAACGCCGCGUGAGUGAUGAAGGUCUUCGGAUCGUAAAACUCUGUUAUUAGGGAAGAACAUAUGUGUAAGUAACUGUGCACAUCUUGACGGUACCUAAUCAGAAAGCCACGGCUAACUACGUG
rnacentral:rRNA from 1 species